AAAAAGCUCGUAGUUGGAUCUGGGUCGUAUGGCUACGUUCCGUUGCUUGUAUUCCGGGCUUGGCUUUGCUAGGUCUGGUUUGCGGGUCGGUGUUGUGGCUGUGCAGCCUUUCUGCCGUGUCUGUGAUUAAACAGGUGCCGACCUCAUCGGUGAGCUUGUCUUAUCGGUUGGUUGGCAUGCUCUUUGAUGCCUUUGAACGGGUGUCGGGGGCGGACGGUGCGUUUACUUUGAACAAAUUUGAGUGCUCAAAGCAGGCCUGUGCCUGAAAAUUCUUGCAUGGAAUAAUGGAAUAGGACUU
rnacentral:rRNA from 1 species